GCUCGUAUAAUAACUUGCCUUUCUCUACUUUCGUCGUGGUUGUGUUGGCCACAAGCUGUCGGAUUGCUCUACUAGGCUGGUUGAGAGGUAGAGUGCUGGUGUCCAGAGGUUGGAUGCCCUUGGAAACGAGGGAACCCUUCUGGUGCCCACUUUGGCAUCAUCCACUGGUGGGAAUGUUCGGCCGACGGUGGAGGGUGAAGUUUAUGGACCUUGGAUUAGGGUCCAGCGGCGUGGUUCCAGGAAGAGAUUUGUGCCGGCGCUGGGAAGGGGAUUGGCAGUGGCGGCGGAGGCUGUUCCUUCUUCCACACGUGAGGCGCACGUGGUGUAACGGUCUUCUGGGGAACCUGGAUGUUAUUAACGUGCAGGGGGCUCGAGGACAAAUGAUGCGUUUUGACUGAGGUGGAGCGAUUGGGGGAACCCAAGGCAGAUGGGGUUUCACCCGGAUCCAGCUGGCUCGUUGGAACAGAUGCCGAGUCAACUGGAAGCCAGGAGGCUGUCAACUGGAGUUUGCUUCAGCUUACGUGCUCCUGUGGUACCCAGCCUUGUGCGAAGCGUCAGGUGCUGAUGGGGAGCCCAAGGCGGGCUGUUGUGACCGCCUGUGUUGGCUCGUCUAGCAUCGUGGUGCCUCGGCAUCGUCAUUGGAUUUGAUGAUCUCACUCCUCCCCCGCCGACGGUUGAGGUGGAGGGUGUAUAUUCUAUCCCUUCUGCUCCUGUGCAGGGGAAGAGGGGGAGUAAGGAGGUGGCCCAAGGCCAAUGUCAGCACAAUGAUCUCACUGCUAAAGCCCAAGAGAGGACCGGGUUGCGGCUCCAAGGCCUCUCAUGGGGAAACCCAUUUGGACGAGACAGUGAUUAGGAGGGUUGCAAGGAGACUGGGUCGUUCUUGGUGCUUUACCGAGUUUCCGUCGGCGGGAGCCUCUGGUGGCAUCGCGCUGCUAUGGAACGCAUCAUUUGUCAAGACCCAGGUGAAUGGAUUGUUGAGGGAUUACAAUUGGGGGGGUGAACUGGGCUUACGGGUGGUCGUCGUUAUUGCUCCUGGGUUAUGGUGGAUCUGAAGGGCGCAUAAUUAGGGUUAAAUUAUCUGAUAGCAAUAUGUAGAAGAAUUGAUGGUCCCAUCCUCUUCAGGAGUUCAACCAAAUCGUGAUAGUUCAGUGGAGGAGACCAUAGUGGGGGUGCUGGUUUUAUUUUACGAAAUGAGGAUGGUUAAUCCAAUUUUUAUCGAAUACAGAUUUUGGAGAAGGGGAGGUGUUGUACUGUGAAGCGAUAACAGUUUUGGUGUUCUCUCGGGGGGAUUCCAACAAGUACAUAUGGAAUCAGAUUCACAACUAUUCUGUCUCGUGUCCAUUAGAUAUGUUGUUCUUCAUAUUUUAGCACUGUUGAACUGUUUUGACGUAUAUAAUCUAUUGAGGUCCAUUAGAAA